ACGCUAGCUACAGGCUUAACACAUGCAAGUCGAGGGGCAGCAUGGUCUUAGCUUGCUAAGGCCGAUGGCGACCGGCGCACGGGUGAGUAACACGUAUCCAACCUGCCGUCUACUCUUGGACAGCCUUCUGAAAGGAAGAUUAAUACAAGAUGGCAUCAUGAGUCCGCAUGUUCACAUGAUUAAAGGUAUUCCGGUAGACGAUGGGGAUGCGUUCCAUUAGAUAGUAGGCGGGGUAACGGCCCACCUAGUCUUCGAUGGAUAGGGGUUCUGAGAGGAAGGUCCCCCACAUUGGAACUGAGACACGGUCCAAACUCCUACGGGAGGCAGCAGUGAGGAAUAUUGGUCAAUGGGCGAGAGCCUGAACCAGCCAAGUAGCGUGAAGGAUGACUGCCCUAUGGGUUGUAAACUUCUUUUAUAAAGGAAUAAAGUCGGGUAUGGAUACCCGUUUGCAUGUACUUUAUGAAUAAGGAUCGGCUAACUCCGUGCCAGCAGCCGCGGUAAUACGGAGGAUCCGAGCGUUAUCCGGAUUUAUUGGGUUUAAAGGGAGCGUAGAUGGAUGUUUAAGUCAGUUGUGAAAGUUUGCGGCUCAACCGUAAAAUUGCAGUUGAUACUGGAUAUCUUGAGUGCAGUUGAGGCAGGCGGAAUUCGUGGUGUAGCGGUGAAAUGCUUAGAUAUCACGAAGAACUCCGAUCGCGAAGGCAGCCUGCUAAGCUGCAACUGACAUUGAGGCUCGAAAGUGUGGGUAUCAAACAGGAUUAGAUACCCUGGUAGUCCACACGGUAAACGAUGAAUACUCGCUGUUUGCGAUAUACAGCAAGCGGCCAAGCGAAAGCGUUAAGUAUUCCACCUGGGGAGUACGCCGGCAACGGUGAAACUCAAAGGAAUUGACGGGGGCCCGCACAAGCGGAGGAACAUGUGGUUUAAUUCGAUGAUACGCGAGGAACCUUACCCGGGCUUAAAUUGCAGAUGAAUUACGGUGAAAGCCGUAAGCCGCAAGGCAUCUGUGAAGGUGCUGCAUGGUUGUCGUCAGCUCGUGCCGUGAGGUGUCGGCUUAAGUGCCAUAACGAGCGCAACCCUUGUUGUCAGUUACUAACAGGUUCCGCUGAGGACUCUGACAAGACUGCCAUCGUAAGAUGUGAGGAAGGUGGGGAUGACGUCAAAUCAGCACGGCCCUUACGUCCGGGGCUACACACGUGUUACAAUGGGGGGUACAGAGGGCCGCUACCACGCGAGUGGAUGCCAAUCCCCAAAACCUCUCUCAGUUCGGACUGGAGUCUGCAACCCGACUCCACGAAGCUGGAUUCGCUAGUAAUCGCGCAUCAGCCACGGCGCGGUGAAUACGUUCCCGGGCCUUGUACACACCGCCCGUCAAGCCAUGGGAGCCGGGGGUACCUGAAGUGCGUAACCGCGAGGAGCGCCCUAGGGUAAAACUGGUGAAUG
rnacentral:rRNA from 1 species